ACACUCCUUUCCUCUGGGCAUAGGGAGGAAUGCUCUGGAAUGAGUUUUAUGAGCAACUUCCAGGGGAAGGUCAGCUAGGACUUAUGACACACUUCAGGGAAGAAGGGGUCUCAGAGAGAUCUUCCUGCCUCUGCUAUUUUCUCAGAUGCCAAGGAGCACUUAUCUCUGAAGUCUCACUUUUUAAAUAUGUUACAAUGAAUUGUGAUCCUGUUUUAUGUAUCUGACUGACAGCACUGGGAAUUAAGUUCCUCAGCCAAUGAAAUAAUAAACCCAAUGCCACGAUAAAACCUACGGUAGAGACUGAUAAGGACUCCAGAUCCAGGCUGCUAAUACUCUUCAAAGUCAUUCAGCUGUGGCUACUACAUGAUGUCUGAGUGUUUCCACAAGGCACUGUUUUGGACAUUGGGAACAUCGAAGUAGAGUGAGCAUCAUCAUGAAUGGAAACACUUUCUCUGAAAAAAGACAUAAAACAAUUGAAAGUCAGCAGUGUCUUUCUUGCAAAAUAUUAUGAAGAUCAGGACAAUUAGAAUUAGGUAUACUCCAAUUCCAUUUUAGAAUUUGCAAUAGAGAAGGUGCUUUGGGAAUGGAAUUAAAUGAGCUGAUUCAUGUAAAGGGAUUUAACUGGGUGCCGGACCUGUCAUAAACUCUUAACGUGAACAGGAGAGUUACUGUAAAAACUGAGACAACAAAACAGCCGGAGGCAUGAAAAGAAAAAGAAUCCCGCAUGAAUAGCUUGCUAUAUGUAAUUUGGUUAGGAACAAUUCACAGGUUUUGACAGCUUUAUUAGAGUUCCAUUUUAGUAAGAUUCAGGUGAAAGUGAGGUCAUCACUUUAAAACAAAAAUCCUGAGAACAUACCCAGAUGGACUCACAUAAAUGAUGUAUACUAAUGUCGUCAAGUAAAUAUUUUAAAGAGUUAAUUGCUUUCUUUAUUAAAAACUGGAUUUAAAUACUCCAUU
rnacentral:lncRNA from 1 species